rnacentral:rRNA from 1 species
UACAGAGGGGCAAGCGUUGUUCGGAAUUACUGGGCGUAAAGGGCGCGUAGGCGGCCUGUUAAGUCGAACGUGAAAUCCCCGGGCUCAACCCGGGAACUGCGUCCGAUACUGGCAGGCUUGAAUCCGGGAGAGGGAUGCGGAAUUCCAGGUGUAGCGGUGAAAUGCGUAGAUAUCUGGAGGAACACCGGUGGCGAAGGCGGCAUCCUGGACCGGUAUUGACGCCUGAGGCGCGAAAGCGUGGGGAGCAAACAGG